rnacentral:rRNA from 1 species
UACGUAGGGGGCUAGCGUUGUCCGGAUUUAUUGGGCGUAAAGAGCGUGUAGGCGGCCAGGUAGGUCCGUUGUGAAAGCUCGGGGCUCAACCCCGAGUCGGCCGUGCGAACUGCUGGGCUUGAGCACUGUAGAGGCAGGCGGAAUUCCGGGUGUAGCGGUGGAAUGCGUAGAGAUCCGGAAGAACACCGGUGGCGAAGGCGGCCUGCUGGGCAGUGGCUGACACUGAGGCGCGACAGCGUGGGGAGCAAACAGG